rnacentral:tRNA from 1 species
GGUUCAUUAGCUCAGCUGGCAGAGCACCUGACUCUUAAUCAGGGAGUCCUCGGUUCGAUCCCGAGAUGAACCACCA